ensembl:misc_RNA 7SK 7SK RNA
GAUAUGAAGGCGAUCUGGCUGUGACAUCUGUCACCCCACUGAUCACCAACUUUGAUUUGGAUUGAUGUGGCUGGCUAGGCGGGCAUCCCUUUCCUCUCUACCAUGUCCCAUGCAUCCCUCCUGAAGCUGCAUGUUUGGUCAAAGAGGAUGACAUUCCCAGAUAGAGGAAGACCAUUAUUCCUGUCAAGAGUAGCUGUGCUCCCCUGCAAGAACCUGCAAACAGCUCAAAAUAAAUAGAUAGAUAAAAAAAUAAAUAAAUAAAAGUCUAUAACAUAAAGGACUCCAGGUUCAUUCAUUUUAUUUCUCUUGUCUUUGUCU